rnacentral:lncRNA from 1 species
GACAUCUCUGCUCAUGCAACUGCACCUGCAGAAGUAUUUUUAGGGGAGGUACAAAGUGUUACUCCCCUCUCCCCAGGCACAGGGACGUGUGUCCUGGCAGUCCUUCAUCCCAUGGCCUGACCCAGCCACAUAACUGGGCAGUGCUGUCACAUGGAGCUGGAAAUAUAAACGUGGGGACGAGUCAGGGGCAGAUUGGCUGUUUGCAAGGUGGCACCUGGCUCAGAGAGAGGAAACUGGACCUCACACCCUGACAGGGAUGGUGAUCCAGGGAGGAUGAGCGAGCAUCACCCAGGAGAGGCACCCUCACACCCCUCCCAGGUUUUACACAGCCCUGGUCACGGGAGACCUGAGGAGCCUCGAGGUCCUGACUGACCGAUACCAUCAAGAUGUCAACCUGGUUUUUGAGAUCAGUAAAAAUGAGCUGGAGUGGCAGGUGAAAAGCCAAGCGUCUUAUGGACUCUCAGGUACUUUUCCUUUAAAGGCCAGGCCAGAAGAAACUUUAAAAUGGGUAUUUACUAACCCUAAAUAGAAGAGCUGCGGCACAUUUAAGUGCCUUAAGUGUUCCUGAGGUGGUUGGUUUCUGGUUAGCUGGCCGUGCCUGCAAUUUUAACCAUAAAUAUUCAUCAUUUUUAAUAUUUCCUUCUCUUCCGCAUAUACUAACCCACCAGAGGGGCAGGGAACUGUAAAAUCUGUGCAUCCACACGAUUUUUUCAGGUUGGGAUUAGACACUCUGUGGCUUGGGAAUGUUUGCAAGAGGGGUCACAGCCCAAAUUCCUCAUGGAGGGGCUCAGGAAGAGCAGCCUGGUCCUAUGGGGGAGGAAUAAGAUGUUUCCAGGUUAGUGGUACCUGGUGCCUUCCCCGCUGAGGUGCUGCUCAAAGUCCCAGGUGCUCCCAGAGCACCAUGCUCAGUAGAUUACUGAUGGUCCCAGAGGUCCUGGAGCUGAUGGGAAAUGCAACACCUCACUCUAGCUGUGCCCAAACCC